rnacentral:lncRNA from 1 species
UAAUGACUAAAAUUUUAGAACUCCUGGCAGCGUCUUUAUGAAAACAGUUGCAGGUUUGAGUCAGCAUGCCCUUAUCCGAAUCAAAAUAUUACUUUAAAGUUUGCAUUUGGUUCUAAAUCUAGAGUAAAAGGACCGAUCAAAGUUUUAGUAGAUGCAUUGAUAUGUGGAUACCGUAUUGAAUAUUUGUUUAUUUCGUAAAGUUUAUGAGUCCGAAGUUUUCAUUUUAGGACAUGCGCGUGAAGUAUUUUCGUUUCUUAAAUUUUUCGAUGAUACAUAUUGUCCUUUUUCAUACAAAAUUCAGCCAUUCUUUACCCGCCACUUCACAUCAUUUUACUGUUGCGCAAUGGCGCAGGGGGCAACUCAAUUUUGCUGUUUCUAAACUCCUCUCAACCCAAAAGGAUAAAACUCGAUUCCUAAUCUCCAAUGUAAUCACCAAAGAUCCUGUUUUUUUUUUCUUUUUUGUUGAUGAAAACCAAAGAUUUUGUUAGUCAUCUAAUCAUAUAUUUAUAUAUAUGAAGUAUACAAGUAGAGUAAGUUUAUGUACCAAAAAAAUAGAGAGAUG